AGUUUGAUCCUGGCUCGGACGAACGCUGGCGGCGUGCUUAACACAUGCAAGUCGAGCGAUGAAACACCUUCGGGUGUGAAUUAGCGGCGAACGGGUGAGGAACACGUGAGAAAUCUGCCUUCAACACUGGGAUAACUCCGGGAAACCGGGGCUAAUACCGGAUAUGAAAUCUGCGGGCAUCCGCGGAUUUGGAAAGUUUUUCGGUUGAAGAUGAUCUCGCGGCCUAUCAGCUUGUUGGUGAGGUAAUGGCUCACCAAGGCGACGACGGGUAGCCGGCCUGAGAGGGCGACCGGCCACACUGGGACUGAGACACGGCCCAGACUCCUACGGGAGGCAGCAGUGGGGAAUAUUGGGCAAUGGAGGAAACUCUGACCCAGCGACGCCGCGUGCGGGAUGAAGGCCUUCGGGUUGUAAACCGCUUUCAGCAGGGAAGAAGCGAAAGUGACGGUACCUGCAGAAGAAGCACCGGCUAACUAUGUGCCAGCAGCCGCGGUAAUACAUAGGGUGCAAGCGUUGUCCGGAAUUAUUGGGCGUAAAGAGCUCGUAGGUGGUUCGUCACGUCGGAUGUGAAACUCUGGGGCUUAACCCCAGACCUGCAUUCGAUACGGGCGAGCUUGAGUAUGGUAGGGGAGUCUGGAAUUCCUGGUGUAGCGGUGGAAUGCGCAGAUAUCAGGAGGAACACCAAUGGCGAAGGCAGGACUCUGGGCCAUUACUGACACUGAGGAGCGAAAGCGUGGGGAGCGAACAGGAUUAGAUACCCUGGUAGUCCACGCCGUANACGGUGGGCACUAGUUGUGGGGACCUUCCACGGUCUCUGCGACGCAGCUAACGCAUUAAGUGCCCCGCCUGGGGAGUACGAUCGNCAGAUUAA
rnacentral:rRNA from 1 species